rnacentral:rRNA from 1 species
CACGUAGGGUGCAAGCGUUGUCCGGAAUUAUUGGGCGUAAAGGGCUCGUAGGCGGUCCGUCACGUCGGGAGUGAAAACUCGGGGCUCAACCCCGAGCCUGCUUCCGAUACGGGCGGACUAGAGGUAGGUAGGGGAGAACGGAAUUCCUGGUGUAGCGGUGGAAUGCGCAGAUAUCUGGAGGAACACCGGUGGCGAAGGCGGCAUCCUGGACCGGUAUUGACGCGUGAGGAGCGAAAGCCAGGGGAGCCAAAGCGGG